UACAUUAGCAUGGGAUAAUGGAAUAGGACCCUGACCUCCUAUUUUCAGUUGGUUUUGUUUACAGCGAGGUUAUAUCAGGGUAAUGAUUAAUAGGGAUAGUUGGGGGCAUUAAUAUUUAAUUGUCAGAGGUGAAAUUCUUGGAUUUAUGAAAGAUUAACUUCUGCGAAAGCGUUUGCCAAGGAUGUUUUCAUUAAUCAAGAACGAAAGUUAGGGGAUCGAAGACGAUCAGAUACCGUCGUAGUCUUAACCAUAAACGAUGCCGACCAGCGAUUAGGAGACGUUGAAUACAAAACACCGCUGUUAAUCCUUUCGGGGGUUAAUAGUUGGUGAAUGACUCCCUAGCG
rnacentral:rRNA from 1 species